rnacentral:rRNA from 1 species
GAGAAGCAAUACCGCGAGGUGGAGCAAAACUUCAAAAAUAGGUCUCAGUUCGGACUGUAGGCUGCAACUCGCCUACACGAAGUUGGAAUUGCUAGUAAUCGUGGAUCAGCAUGCCACGGUGAAUACGUUCCCGGGUCUUGUACACACCGCCCGUCACACCAUGGGAGCUGGUAACACCCGAAGUCAGUAGUCUAACCGCAAGGAGGACGCUGCCGAAGGUGGGAUUAGCGACUGGGGUGAAGUCGUAACAAGGUAUC